rnacentral:tRNA from 1 species
UCCCUUGUGGCUCAGAUGGUAAAGCGUCUGCCUACAGUGCAGGAGACCUGGGUUCGAUUCCUGGGUUGGGAA